AACUAUAAUGUACUAAUAUAUAGCUUUUUCUGCUCAAUGAAAUUUUAAAUAGCCGCAGUACCCUGACUGUGCAAAGGUAGCAUAAUCAGUUGGCUUAUAAUUGAAGUCUAGAAUGAACGAAAUAACGGGUAGUAGCUGUCUCAUAAAUAAUAUUACAAAUUUAGUAAGUAAGUGCAAAAACUUACAACAUUAUAUUAGACGAGAAGACCCUAGAAAUUUUUAUAUAAGUUUUUGUUGGGGCGACAGAGUUAUAGAAAACUAACUUUAUAUAACAUGUAGUAUUAAAGAAAGAUUAAAUUACUCUAGGGAUAACAGCAUAAUUUAAAAUAGUUUGUGACCUCGAUGUUGGACUAGGUAAAGUGUUUUUUAGAAGAAAACUUUAAAUGCUCUGUUCGAGCAAUAAUACCUACA
rnacentral:rRNA from 1 species